GGUGAGGACCUGGGUAACCCUCCCUUCCUCCCCAAGCUGGAUCGCCGGCCCUCGAGAGCCCGGCGCCCCCACGGCGGAUGCUCCGUUACCCGGUUGGGCCCGGGCUCCCUCUUCAUGACAUCGCCUAGCGUCUCCGGAGUCGUCAUCCAGAAGAAUGGGGGGGGGGGGCCAAGGGGAGCUGGCCCGGUGCCUCGCUCCUCUGUCGUCAGGCCAGGGUCCUCCAUCAUCUGGCAGACCCCAUCCUGACCUCUGCCUCCUGACAGCCUCUGUAGGAUUCUGAGUACGAGCCCAUAGCCCACCGUUCUCCUCUCUCAAUCUCCGUGUCCAUAUGUCCCCCUGCAAUAAACUCCAGCCCCAACUGUCUGGUGCUGUGUUUGUUGUAUUGUUUGCGAGAUGUCUCCCCUUUCAAGUUUGUGAGGGGAAGGUCUUCUGGCGUCUGAUCAUUGUCUCUCGCCCUGGUGGGUUGGGUGGAUUCUCCCCUGACCUGGGUGGUGGUGAGGGAUGAGGGGGAGGUCCUUCUCCCAUCGCCAUCAUGUAGUUUUUUGGGGGGAGAGGAGGCUUAUCUGCAACAGGGCAGUUGAAGGUCAGACAGUGUGAAGGACUUCUCAGCUUUCUGUAUACCUGGAGCAGAAGAGGAGUGCGUCUGGAGAGAAGCAGAGGGCCUGCCCUCCUAUCAACAGCACAGGAGAUGAGGAGAGAGGGAUUCAAAAACCACAGCCUGGAUCCCACGGGAUAUCAAGCCAGCCCAGAGCUUCUGGACACCAGCAAGUGAAAGUGUCCUGUGUCAUGGGAAUCAGCUUAGGCUCACCUGCUGGAGGACGAGAGACUGCACCACGGAGACCUAAGUCACCCAGCUGAUAGCCCGCCUCCUCCCAGAGACAGAGCUGCGUCCCUGAGCACAGCUGACGGCAUAUGCAUGGAUGAGCUCAUCCAAGACCAAAAGACCCAUCCAGAGGACCCAUAGACCUGUGAGCAACAACAGAGGCCUGGCAUUUCUCAUCGUGACCUGUUUUGGUGAUUGCAAAGUGUGUGGUGCGCUUCCUCCUGCUGAUGGUGCUGUUUUCUAUGGCCUUCCAGAGGCCCUCUGCCCGACGCGGCCUCCACCUUCCUUCUCCCAGCCUCCCCCACCCCGGGGCCUCCUGGCACCGCCUGGUUCUCCGGCUCAGCCGGGGCUGGAAGUUCUGGGAGUCAGUCUGGCCAGGGUCAGAAGAUCAUGUGGGCCCAACCACUGCUGCUGAAGGCCCACCACAUCCUUCCUCAGGGGACCCUGUGGCCACCGCGGAGGAGCCUCAGGGUAAAUGGCCAACAUCUAUCUGGCUUGGGGCUUCCUGUGGUAGCUGGCAGAGUGGUGGCUGCCCGCCACAUGCUUGGCCCAGCCAACUCAGGCACUAGGAAAUGUGGAUACAAAAGAACACGGCUCGGGGCACCUGGGGGGCUCAGUCGGUGAAGCGUCUGCCUUUGGCUCAGGUCAUGAUCCCGGGGUCCUAGGAUCGAGCCCCGCAUCGGGCUCCUUGCUCGGCAGGGAGCCUGCUUCUCUCUCUGCCCGCUGCUCCCCCUGCUUGUGCUCUCUCUCUGUCAAAUAAAGAAACUCUAAAAAAAAAGUGUGCUUUGUAUGCCCCCUGGGCAUGGUCCCUUUCUGCUGCUUUUCUUUUCAUCCUGUAAAUUUGAAGCCUCUCGGGCCUGCGUUAAAACACCCUUUGAAGUGACAUAUAACACGCAGACACGAAAGUUCAGCAGUCAUGAAGGUGCCACUUAAUGAAUUGUCUACGUCCCUGUGGAACUGACAUUCAGAUCAAGAAAAAGCGAGUUUCCAGCCCCCAGACGCACCCAGCCCCAGUGCCCCUAGGAACCUCUAACCGGGCUUAUGACACCAAAGUCUAGUUUUGUCUGUCCUCAAAUUUAUUUAUAUUUUUUAUUUUUAUUUUUAUUUUUUU